rnacentral:miRNA from 1 species
UCUGUGACUGUAAUGGAA